rnacentral:rRNA from 1 species
UACGGAGGGUGCGAGCGUUGUCCGGAAUCACUGGGCGUAAAGGGCGCGUAGGCGGCUCGGUAAGCGUGCGGUGAAAGCCUGGGGCUCAACCCCGGGUCGGCCGUGCGAACUGUCGAGCUCGAGCACUGUAGAGGCAGGCGGAAUUCCGGGUGUAGCGGUGGAAUGCGUAGAGAUCCGGAAGAACACCGGUGGCGAAGGCGGCCUGCUGGGCAGUAGCUGACGCUGAGGCGCGAAAGCGUGGGGAGCAAACAGG